AGCAAAAAAUAUAUUAAUAUGCCGCGACGUAUUUUCGUAAAACGUACAUGAAAAUCCGAUGUAAUAACGUAUUUAACGUAAUAUUGUGCCAUAUUGACGCUUAAUUAAAUUCCUCGUCGCAACAUUCAAUUGAGAAAGUUCAUAUUUCAGUUACGUCGAUCCAACGCCAAAUUACCUGCCAAAUAGGUGAAUAUCACGAACUCAGCGUAAUAUUACCGCCACCAUCAGUAAUAUUGCUUCAUAAUGCAUGCUGCUGUAAAUGUCAACAAAGCCGGCAGUCAGUCCAGUUUUCACUCCAUUCUGUUCACAUUGAAAUACGAUUAUAAUUUGAACUAAUUGCUUUUUAAAAACUAAAUUAAGUGGAUAGGAAGUUAUUGAAAUGUUCAAACAGUGUUUCUGACCUGGAAGUGGGAGAAAAUCUGUUCAUGGAGAGGCAAAUAUCGAAAGGAUGCUAGAGCUGCAGGAUUUGUUCAUACCUACGAUGAAUUCGUUCACACCUUCAAUGCCGGAAUGGAAUUGUGCAGAUUCAAAAUCGUCCUGGAUAAUCGAUCCAGGAACCGAUCUCUCUGCAAUCAUACGUCAUACAGAGCCAUACUGUUGCGUCGUGAUCAUGCACCUUACCUCAACUUUUUAAAGUAUUUCGAACGGAUCAAAAGCAGGAAAAAUAAAACCGAGCAGGCACAGGACAAAACUGCUGGGUUCAUGUUUCCACCCACUAUCCCGUACAAGAGCAAUCAAGUGGACUGCGAAUAACAGAAGGAGUUGCGAAGCAAUGCAAACAUGCGUUGACUUGUGGGAAGACGAAAAGAACAGUUACUACGGGACCAGCAUCAUAUGGCUGCAACAUCGAAGAUUAAAAGGACGUAUGUAACUGAAAUAACUGGAUU